rnacentral:rRNA from 1 species
UACGGAGGGUGCAAGCGUUGUUCGGAAUUACUGGGCGUAAAGAGCGUGUAGGCGGCUGACCAAGUCCGGUGUGAAAGCCCGGGGCUUACCCCCGGAAGUGCGCUGGAAACUGGUCGACUAGAGUAUGGGAGAGGGAAGUGGAAUUCCUGGUGUAGCGGUGAAAUGCGUAGAUAUCAGGAGGAACACCGGCGGCGAAGGUGGCUUCCGGGACCAAUAUUGACUCUGAGACGCGAAAGCGUGGGGAGCAAACAGG